AGAAGGACGCCGCCCCCGGGUGGGCUCGAACCACCAACCUUUCGGUUAACAGCCGAACGCGCUAGCCGAUUGCGCCACGGAGGCGUUUCAUUUCUAGGUCGCAGUUGUCCAAGAGAAGGAGAACGGCGCGAAAGCAAGAGGUGCAAAGUACUAUCGUCUGAGAGGGACAGAAAGAGAGAAUCAAAUACUAUGAGAGUGCGAGGUUACCGAAACGAGAGUUGCAGAGUACUAUCAUCUGAGAAAAGAGUCAGUCACAACAAAAUCAAACAUAUUGUCGCUAAUCAAUGUUGCAGUCUUUAUUCUGAUAUCAGUGUGCCACGAAUGGUUCGUCGCGUAUUAGUUCA